rnacentral:sRNA from 1 species
AGGCGCGACUAGGGUGCAGCGCCAGGUCCGGUGUUGGGGUGUCCGAGUUGCGGCCGGAGAGGAGUGGCCUCACCCGCUUGACAGUCUUGCUCUGUUGCCCAGGCUGGAGUGCAGUGAGUCUUGGCUCACUGCAGCCUCUGCCUCCCAGGCUCAAGCCACAGAUGUGCACUACUGCACUCGGCUAAUUUUUGUGUUUUCUUUUUAGUAGAGCUGGGGUUUCACCAAAUUGGCCAGUCUGGUCUUGAACUACUGGCCUCAAGUGAUCCGCCCACCUCUGCCUCCCACAGUGCUGGGAUUACAGGCAUGAGCCACCACGCCUGGCCUGAUGGUGAUUUAAAGUGCUCUUUCUUCAUUACUUCUUGAGUAGCUCACCAGUUUUACAAAUGAAGCCACAUGGAUCUUCCAAGGCCUUAUUUAAAUUCCAGGGCCUUUUUUCUGUGUAUUUCUUUCCAAGAAGCUCAUUUACUUUUCCUUUCUUCUUUUCUUCUCUUUUCUUUUACUUCCUUUCUGCUUGCAUUUUUUUUUUUUUUUUUUUUGAGACGGAGUCUUGCUGUUGCCCAGGCUGAAGUACAGUGGCAUGAUCUCGGCUCACUGCGACCUUUGCCUCUCGGGUUCAAGCAACUCUCCUGUCUCAGCCUCCUGAGUAGCC